rnacentral:rRNA from 1 species
UACGUAGGGGGCGAGCGUUGUCCGGAAUCAUUGGGCGUAAAGCGCGUGUAGGCGGCUCGAUAAGUCUGCUGUGAAAGUCCAGGGCUCAACCCUGGAAUGCCGGUGGAAACUGUCGAGCUUGAGUCCGGAAGAGGCGAGUGGAAUUCCUGGUGUAGCGGUGAAAUGCGUUGAUAUCAGGAGGAACACCCAUGGCGAAGGCAGCUAACUGGGCAUUAUCUGACGCUGAGGCGCGAAAGCGUGGGUAGCAAACAGG